rnacentral:lncRNA from 1 species
UUUUGAUGUCUGAAAUAUAGAUAACACAUGAUAUAUGAACUAUGGUUCACAUCGUACCACAUAUAUUCAGAGCAUAUUUUAACUUUUCAGUAGAGGAGAUUGGUGGAUUAUCUAAAGACGAGCUAAUUUUAGGUUGUGUUAUAUAUGCACGUAUUGGAUUGAUCUUUUAGGUAACAUAAUGUUAGUGUCAGACAUCCGAAGCCUCUUCCAUUUUAAAAGAUUCUGAAUUCAAUUCAUAUAUUACACGU